ensembl:lncRNA
CCACAUAGAGUUUUUUGCCAGUAUGAUACCAUGCCUGGUAAUAUCCAAUGUUGCUUAAGAUUGCAUUGGAGACCUACCAUCAUACUGCCUGGGAAUGCCCACUCACAAAGAGGGUCGACUUAAGUUUGUGGAGGAACAAUCUUAACUGGGGUUGUCCCUGACUUUUCCCUGCUUAACUCUGUGACAUUAUUCUAACAGUUUUGAACUGUGCUGUUGUACUCCCUCAUCUGAAUAAAGAGGAACCAGGAUUUUGCCUUGGUAGGUCACAUUGUUCCUCAGUGCAAUGUGGGUAUGAUUUAGUUCUGGAUGAAGCUCAAAUGAGGUUUGGUCAGGAUAUAUGCCCAUAUGUUUGGAACCUCACUGCUUUUGCUGGAAAAAAAAUAGGCUAUAAACCUCAUGAGAAUAGCCUUCCACACAAGAUGUUUAGCAUUUCCUGCUUCCAUUUGGGCCAGAAAUAUUGCAAAGACAACCUCUUUUGGCCUAGCUUCUCCCAUUCUUUGUUUUGAUUGAAAUUUAGAAAUACAGAAGGUCAGAAAAAGAAAAAUAACAGAAGACUGAAAGGAAGUUAAUUUUUUUCCAAAUUUAGUAAAGGUUAGAUUAGGAUUUAGUUUAAGCUUUGGCUGAAACUUUGGCAGGGAGGGGAGGGAAAGGAUGUGUUUAUUUUAACUGAAUUAGUUCAUCUGUCUUUAACAUGAUUAUAUUUAAGUGUGUAUCCAUUUUUAUGACACAGUAUAAAAGAGUCUGUGCUUCUUUUUUAAGAUCUGUGCCUUCUGGGAAAAUUAGGUCUGAGUAUAAAAGCCUGACUGUAAGGCACUGAAGAGAGUUCUGGCAUGCAAGAAGACAGGGAGAAAGAGGUUCUUCCAAAGGCAUGUGGCGAGUCCUGCUUCUUCUUGGAGUCAAAAGCAGGUGCCUCUUAUUCAGACCUGCUUCUGUGGAACUGGAGAGGGACGAAGAUUGAAGCAGAAGACAAAGACCUUGUGAAGGAAGUUUACCAUCCCACUAAAGCUCUGCAGAAAAGCCGGUGGAGAUUUAACACAACCUGGAGUUGCAUUAAAUUCCGUAACUCAUUUGGACUUUAAAGGGAGGUCUAUGGAGCAGCAGCAGCAUAUUGUGAGGGAGCCGAGAGGAACCACAACAGACUUGGAGGCAAUGUAGAGGCACAGAGCCUCAUAAAAGAUUUUGUGGGACGCACAAUGGGAGGAAAGUCCUCGCCCCUUCUUCCUGAUGAAAUGAUGUGUGAGGAGCGCUGAGAGGUGCUCCUCAGUGAGUCUGCUGUAAUGCAUUAACUGUUCCCCCAUGGAUAUUUCCAGAGGAGGAGAUGUUGUAGGCAUGCAUUAACUUUUUCCUCAAGAGUCUUUAAAGCAGGGUUAACAAUAUCUCUGAACAGAUCAAAUAAUAAUACAAAAUCUUAGAGGCACGUUAUACUGGAGAAAAUCUCUAUUUUCAGUUUAUGUAAUUUAUGUCCUAGAGAACAACAAAGAAAAAUGAAAAAGCUCUCAAGAGACAAUGGGCUCCAUUCUGUCCUCACAUGCAUGGCUUAGUUACAAGUGGGCACUGGUCCAGCUUCUGUGCUCAGAGUCACAUGUGCAACUUCCUCUGACUUAAACAGAGCAUAUAUUUUUAUUGGGAGAAUUUGGUCUUUUCUGUGUACGUAAAUUACCAUGAUUUAUUUAUUAUUUGUAUUGUAGUAUAAGGAUUAGGGCCCCACUGUUCAAAGCCUCAUGAAAACAUGGACUUUUAGAAAUAGAAAUGUUACAUUCUAGGGAAGUAACAUCAUAUGAAGGUUGGGAUGAAGAAGACAAACAACUAUAUACAAUAUACAAGAUAUAUAUACAAAAAUAAUUGUUUUGCUAACUAAAUGCAUGUGUAUUUAGAUUUGUA